rnacentral:rRNA from 1 species
UCACUCUAGCGAGACUGCCGGUGACAAACCGGAGGAAGGCGGGGACGACGUCAGAUCAUCAUGCCCCUUAUGACCUGGGCUACACACGUGCUACAAUGGCGUAUACAACGAGUUGCCAACCCGCGAGGGUGAGCUAAUCUCUUAAAGUACGUCUCAGUUCGGAUUGUAGUCUGCAACUCGACUACAUGAAGUCGGAAUCGCUAGUAAUCGCGGAUCAGCACGCCGCGGUGAAUACGUUCCCGGGUCUUGUACACACCGCCCGUCACACCAUGGGAGUUUGUAAUGCCCAAAGCCGGUGGCCUAACCUUUUAGGAAGGAGCCGUCUAAGGCAGGACAGAUGACUGGGGUGAAGUCGUAACAAGGUAACCGUAG